rnacentral:rRNA from 1 species
CCUACGGGUGGCAGCAGUGGGGAAUAUUGGGCAAUGGGCGCAAGCCUGACCCAGCAACGCCGCGUGAAGGAAGAAGGCUUUCGGGUUGUAAACUUCUUUUCUGAGGGACGAAGAAAGUGACGGUACCUCAGGAAUAAGCCACGGCUAACUACGUGCCAGCAGCCGCGGUAAUACGUAGUGGGCAAGCGUUAUCCGGAUUUAUUGGGUGUGAAGGGCGUGUAGGCGGGAAAGCAAGUCAGCUGUGAAAACGCAGGCCUCAACCCUGAGCCUGCAUUUGAAACUGUUGUUCUUGAGUGCUGGAGAGGCAAUCGGAAUUCCGUGUGUAGCGGUGAAAUGCGUAGAUAGACGGAGGAACACCAGUGGCGAAGGCGGAUUGCUGGACAGUAACUGACGCUGAGGCGCGAAAGCGUGGGGAGCAAACAGGAUUAGAGACCCUUGUAGUC